AACACCUUGAACAGGUGACACCUUGAACAGGUGACACCCUGCAGCAGGUGACACCUUGAACAGGGAACACCUUGCACAGGUGACACCUUGAACAGGGAACACCUUUCAACAGGUGACACCUUGAACAGGUGACACCCUGAACAGGGAACACCUUGCACAGGUGACACCCUGCAG